CCUACGGGUGGCAGCAGUGGGGAAUAUUGCGCAAUGGGCGAAAGCCUGACGCAGCGACGCCGCGUGAGGGAUGAAUGUCUUCGGAUCGUAAACCUCUGUCAGCAGGGAAGUACGGUCACUGUGCUAAUCAGCAGUGAAUUGACGGUACCUGCAAAGGAAGCACCGGCUAACUCCGUCCCAGCAGCUGCGGUAAUACGGAGGAUGCUAGCGUUAAUCGGAGUUACUGGGCGUAAAGCGAGCGUAGGCGGUAGUGCAAGUCAAUGGUGAAAUCACCGCGCUCAACGGGGGAAUUGCCUGUGAUACUGGCAAACUGGAGUGUGUGAGAGGAUAGCGGAAUUCCAGGUGUAGGAGUGAAAUCCGUAGAUAUCAGGAGGAACACCAGUGGCGAAGGCGACUAUCUGGCACAUAACUGACGCUGAGGAGCGAAAGCGUGGGUAGCAAACAGGAUUAGAUACCCUUGUAGUC
rnacentral:rRNA from 1 species